GAUGAACGCUGGCGGCGUGCCUAAUACAUGCAAGUCGAGCGAACGGACGAGAAGCUUGCUUCUCUGAUGUUAGCGACGGACGGGUGAGUCAUACGUGGAUAACCUACCUAUAAGACUGGGAUAACUUCGGGAAACCGGAUCUAAUACCGGACAAUAUUUUGAACCGCAUGGUUCAAAAGAGAAAGACGGUCUUGCUGUCACUUAUAGAUGGAUCCGCGCUGCAUUAGCUAGUUGGUAAGGUAACGGCUUACCAAGGCAACGAUGCAUAGCCGACCUGAGAGGGUGAUCGGCCACACUGGAACUGAGACACGGUCCAGACUCCUACGGGAGGCAGCAGUAGGGAAUCUUCCGCAAUGGGCGAAAGCCUGACGGAGCAACGCCGCGUGAGUGAUGAAGGUCUUCGGAUCGUAAAACUCUGUUAUUAGGGAAGAACAUAUGUGUAAGUAACUGUGCACAUCUUGACGGUACCUAAUCAGAAAGCCACGGCUAACUACGUG
rnacentral:rRNA from 1 species